AUUGAACGCUGGCGGCAUGCUUUACACAUGCAAGUCGAACGGCAGCAUGGGUGCUUGCACCUGAUGGCGAGUGGCGAACGGGUGAGUAAUGUAUCGGAACAUAUCCGCAAGUGGGGGAUAACGUAGCGAAAGUUACGCUAAUACCGCAUAUUCCCUGAGGGGGAAAGGAGGGGAUCCGCAAGGACCUUUCGCUUACGGAGUGGCCGAUAUCAGAUUAGCUAGUUGGUGAGGUAAAGGCUCACCAAGGCUUCGAUCUGUAGCGGGUCUGAGAGGAUGAUCCGCCACACUGGGACUGAGACACGGCCCAGACUCCUACGGGAGGCAGCAGUGGGGAAUUUUGGACAAUGGGGGCAACCCUGAUCCAGCCAUGCCGCGUGAGCGAAGAAGGCCUUCGGGUUGUAAAGCUCUUUCAGCCGGAAAAAAAUCGCAUCACCUAAUACGUGGUGUGGAUGAUGGUACCGGAAGAAGAAGCACCGGCUAACUACGUGCCAGCAGCCGCGGUAAUAC
rnacentral:rRNA from 1 species